AAAGCUGUAUGCCCUUUGCUAGAGGCUGGAGAUGCAUGAUGUGCUAUGUGCUUUUCUAACUCUUAUAUUCUUCUGUUGGCUGUUACAAAAACAGGAUAUUGGGCUGGUGGACUUUAGCCUUGAACUCUUGUGACCACUCAUAUGUGGGUAUUAUCCUAAAUUGGACAUAACUUAGUGAAGGCUGUGUUGCCAGCAGCGGAAGCCAGAUCUAAAGAAAGGAGACAAGUGCCUUGUUGUAUGGAUGUCAGAUUCCACUGGAAGUCAGCAAGUGAACCCCUGAUCUGGAGAAAAGUAUUCCUAAGCAAGAAAAAACCCAGACAUUCACCACUGAGCCUCAGAACGGCUGCUGGAAUAAGAAAAUGCAGAACAGUGAUUUGAACAACAGAACCUCUGAGCUCAGCGACUGGAAUUCCCAAUUACAGACAUACUGCUGUUUCUCCUCCCUCAACACAGAUGUUUAGCUUGAUCACUCCCCCAAGCCCAGUGAGACAAGCUCUGUGAAGGAUGCGGAGCUAUGCAUGCUCCGACAGCUACAUCAAAGGCCGGGCCCAGCCUGCACCUCAGCCACCAGUCUGGAGGAAAUCAGAGACCCUCAUUAAAGUUUCAGAAAAACCUAACUGGUAUGAGGACGGCACUCAAAAAUGUAUUCAGGGGAAAACAAAUAUUGUUUUAAUGCUAUUAAUAAUUGAUGAGUUGCCAGCAGAGAUCCUCAUAGCAUUAAGGGAAUUGAAAAUUAAAGGCACAAAGACACUACUUUAAGAAAACAUCUUGGUAAAUAAUUAAUACGGAGUGGGCCUAUUGGAAUCUGAAGAGUGUAGCUUUUAGUUUAUCUUGUCAAACCUAUGCUUUCUAAUACCAGAGUUUCUUCCAGAAUGAGAGCGUGGUCAUUUUCAUUUCAUAUGGACAAAAGAUCUCAUUGUUUCUGCUGCUUGGCUGAAAUCAUUUACAGGCUUCUGUAUUGGUUGUGUUGAGCUCCUGGCAUCAUCCUAGGGAGCACAGCUAAGCACCCAAAGAUUAUGGCUUCCUGAUAUCAAGAGGGGGAAUCAGAGGGAUAAUUAUUUAGAAAACAUAGAAGAACAUGUUCCUGCAUCUGUCCCAGGGAAACAACUGUUUGUCAGGGUCAGACUGGAUCAGAGGAAGAAGCCCUGCCAAUGCGUGCUUAGCAAAACGAGGUAUAAAUAGCUGUGAGGAGCAUCUUGGGAUGUGUAAGACUCAGGAGCAGCGACUCCUUCAGCUUUUGUGUCUCUAGAGAGAUGUGUUUGCAAUGGUGAGGCCAGUUGUGGGGGCUGCACCAAAUAAAUAAUUCAGUGGCU
rnacentral:lncRNA from 7 species